CUCUUUUAAGAUUUUAGCUUUCAAGUCGGUCAAGUAUUAAUUAAUUGUUGCAGAGAAAAAUGUCUUUGGUCUAAUAUUGUGGCGCAGAGUUUCAUUGAAACAGGGAUGAAAAUUUUUUUAUUGGUCAUGUAAAAUAGCAGAACUCAUUGGGAUAGUCAAACAAGGCAACAACCUUUUAAUUUACAUUUGGUAGGUUUCUUAUCCCUUAUGUUGAGGGGAAGAUUGAUCUUAUUCAUAUCAUUAUAAACAACAAGGAUCCUUGCUGCUGUCAAAUGAUCUGACAUUCCCCUAUAGAUCCCUGUCUGUUUUUAUAGUUUAUAAAUUUGUUAAAGUGGUUUCUAAGUUUACAGUUAUGACUCAUGAGAAUUAUUCAUGCUUGUUAUAUAGUGAAAAUACAGAAUGUAAUCCUUGUCUAAUACAUAUGAACAUGAUGGCGUAUUAUGUGCCGACUUUAACUAUCAAUUUGGUGAUUGAUAAACUUGGCAGCCGUUAAAAAUAAAUUUCUGAUGAUCCUAUUUCCCGAUUUUCAUGAUAAACGUGCAUUAUGUAACUGUGCAGCUACCAUCCCACCUUCUAGCAAUUCAGCUAACAGCAGCCAAAUGCAAAAUACUGAAGUUCAAGGAAGUAAUCUGUCUGUAAGGGCGCAACAGUCCCAAGAUCAUGUCUCAAGUGCUACCACUAGCUUCAUGGACAGAUCUUUAACUGAUUGUAGAAAUGAAGAAUCUGUGUAUGAGCCCAAUAAUGAUAAAGGAGGUUCUACAUGUGACUCGAACCCCAACCAACUUGGGACCCAAACAGAUGCAUCGUGGGAGAAUUACGAGAAAACUGCAAGUGAGGAUUUGGCAGAGAGUGAUGCAAAAGGAAAUGAAGGAGCUAAGACUAUAACAAACAAUGCUGAUGAUGACUUGACUGAGAUUGAUACAAAUGCAAAUGAAGAAAUGAAUUUAGAUAGAUGUCUUGUGGAUGCUGAGGUCUCACCCUGUGAUAAUGUAGGUGAAGCAUCUGAAAUAGUAUCUAAGCAAGGGAAAAUAGAGGAUACGACUUCAGAUCCUUUAGCAGCUGCCAGAGUUAUUCAAUUGAAGGAACAAUCUAAUGAUGAGUUAGACUCUAAGAUAUCUUUAAAUGCUCUCCCUCCUGAAGUCAAAUCUGUUGAAAAUGUAAAUACUUCCACUGGUACUGCUCAGGUCAAGGUAGAUGCUGCUCAAGGAAUGGAUUCUGCCAGUUCUGGUGAGUUAAUUGAGUUAAAAAAUGGACAGGGGGAAGGAAAUGACAAUGUCCAUGUGCUUUCAGUUCCUGAUGAUAUACCUGUAGUGGACAAUGCUGAGAUCAUGAUUAGAGGUUUUAAAGAUUAUAAAGGAGGGGCAUUACCCCAAUUAGUAGUUGCAGAUUCAUUCAAAGUAAUUAAUGAUAAGGAUAAUUCUUCCAAUUUUUGUUCAAGCCUAUUGAAUGAAGGCACAGAGGUCUCUGCUUUAGACAUGCAUGUUUUGAAAGAUGACCUUGAACAGAAAGGUGAGAGCAGUGAGCAUAUUGUUGAAAAUUUUCCUGAUGAAACAGAAACUAUCAUGCCUCAGGUCAAGAUGACAGCUAAUGAAAGUCAAAGAACAGAACAGAUUGAUGCCCUUACAGAUGCGGCUGCAACUGGGAUUGAGAAAAACUGUUCUGUUCAAUGUCCUGGAGAACAGCCGCCAAGUGAUUACCAUAAAAGUUCAUCACAGACUAGUUCUGUGGAGCAUGCUACAGAGGUCUUUUCUGAUGUGAAUCCUGUGGCUGUACAACUGAAUUCUGAAUUCAGGCAGACAACCAACUUUGGUGGUGCAGAUGAUGCCGGUGAUUAUGAAAAGGGUAAAAUCAUAAGAUGUGAUAUAGCUGAAAAUGAGGACAAAAGAAUUACAGACGAGAGUUGUACAGAAAACAUUAUAGCAACUUCAGAACCAAGUUCUCUCUCUGAACUCACAGUUAAUGCAGUGACAAAAUCAUUUGGAGGUGAGGAUGCUGCUGAUCAUGAGGGGGGUAAAGUUGAAAGCUACUAUGUAUCAAAAACUGAAACUGAGGAAGGUUAUUCCACAAUACGAUCCAUAGAGGGAAAGCUUUCAGUGAAGACAGCAGUGAUGCCUGAAUCUGCUAAAAGUGUUCAUGAAUCUAAUGUUACCUCAGAAAAUGUAAUUAAUGCAUCUGAGAGAAAUUUAUCAGAAAAUGAAUGCAUACAAUUAAGUAGAGUUUCAGAUCAUCAGGAAGGUGUAAAGGAACUUGAAAGCACUGGCAACAGAAAGGUACAGGUGGAUGGUGCUGAUAGAGCUAGUGCAGCUGCUGAAUCAAGUAAUGUUGGAGAUAAUGAUGAAUUGCAGAAGUCUUCAGAUAAUGUUGGAGACGUUGAGGUAUUACAAAGGCCUUUGGAUAAAAUUGAUGAUGUUGAGGUAUUACAGAAGUCUUCUGAAGAUGUGACAAAAGAGCCUCAACUCUCUCCUUUAGAUACUUCAUCAUCCAUUCAAAAUUGUGCCCCUGUUGGAGAUAAUUCUGCUGGAGAUAAUUCUGCUGGAGAUUUUGUAAGGGUUGUAUCUGAGAAUCGAUCUGAGUCUUCUCCUAAUGAAGGUGAAAGUAAAUUUGCUGCACAACAACUUGGUGCGUCUGCGAUUGACUUUUCUGUUGACUCGGGUAGCCAAACUGAUAGUUUGGAAGGCCAAUGGGGCUCUGCCUCUGCAUCAGUCCUUUCUACCCAGUCAGAUAUGCCUGUCAUUGUUGAUGCUGAGGCAUCAAAUGGUACAAAAGCAUCAGUAGAAGCAGAGAAAGCUGACUUGAAGGAGCCAAAAGCUUUGUCAGAGAGGCAACAUUCUGAUAAAUCUGAUGUUUUUGAGCCUCCAUCAUUCAUGACAUUGGUUGAACCUAGAGAUGGAGACAAAGCUGCUGCUUCUGAAAUACAGACCGUACAGAAUCUGAACCAACCAGCUGGUUGGUUUCCCUCUCUUACUCAUGUCACAAAUGAGUCACAAGGAAGAAAAAAGAACGAAGAAAUAAUUGCCAAGGUCUCAAACUGGAGCACUGGGAAGCAGCACUCUCCUUUGAAGAACAUUUUGGGUGAGGCCAAUAUGGAAACCAAAUCCAAGUCGCCAAAUGCCAAGGAAAAUCCACCGCCAGUGGUUGAAAAAGACGAAAGCAGUGCAAAGGAUAACAAUGCUUCAGCCACAACAGUCAACUCAAAUGUGGGUUCUCAAGUUCCUGUAGCUGAGGCUGUCAAGAAAGAUGCAGGGAAAGAAUGGAAUUCUCCGGCGAGGUAUCCCACAGACAUCAAGAGAGAGAAGAGGAAAGUAAAAGGAAGACCAUAUUGGGCACAAUUUGUAUGCUGCUCUUCUGUAAACUAGGACAAUGAACGUUGUGUUGAUAGUGUCGAGAUACUGAUGAAUAUGGUUGUAUCCCACUGCCCUACUUAUAGUGAAGAUUGUGUUAUGAAUUCAAGUCACUGUUGCAAAUUUAGUUUACCCUAUCAAUAAUUUUGAACAUCAUAUUAUAUAAAGUAUAAAAGUACGUAUAUAAUGUUGCCUUAGCAGCCUGUCUUAGGUUCUGUUUUUUUGGUUGAUUUCGUUGUUGUCAUUUGGUGAUAUUUCACUCGAGUGUUUGAAUACCUAUUUCUAUUUCUAUUUUAUUUAUGUUGCAUGUAGUGUUUUAAUAGAGGAUUUUUGCAAUU
rnacentral:misc_RNA from 1 species